UGCACAUCCCUGACCCUGUCGAGGUAGAGAUGAAAAUGUGCCUUGUCUAAUGUCUUUGAGAUCUGGAUCUCCUUGAAGUGUGAUAGAUGGAUGACUUUUGACCACAAAUGUAUGUCUGCUGACCUCUUGCAGAAGUGAGUGACACCUAAUUAAUCCAAUCACAACAAACUGAGGGAACAAGGAAAGCGUGGCCCUUGUUGUUGAAUGCUGAGCUACAAAAGGACUCCUGACAGUUAAAUGGCGAAACAAUACCAUGGCCGAUCUCGAAGUGUUUUAAAAAGAGAAGCCAUAUGCUAAGACACUUUUUUCACAAAAAGAGAAGGAUUCAUCUGAUUAUUAGUAUGGAGAUAAAUGGGCUGCCGAUGAAAACAGAGAGAGGCAGAGAGAGAGAAAAGGGGAGAGGAGAAAAACAGGAGAAACUUCUGCAGAAUAUUUAUGCUGACUUUAUAUCCGUCUGUGUGGCAGCCCUUGAAAGUGGAAAAUUAAUGACCUUAAUUCCCAAACUGUUUUCCCUCUAACAGCGCUCCCCUCUAUGCUCCCGGUACACUCGCCUUUGUAUGGGGUUUGCCACCCUGCCAACUACUGAAAUGGGGGGAAAAGGAGGACUUGGGGGUGGGAAAGAGCCACCAAUUCUCCUCCUAAUGUGACAGCUCGCACCUAACAAUAGAGCAAGAUGAAAGAGUGGAGCAGAUGUAACCACUGGGAGCGUAGCAUCAUGGGACUGCAACUUUGUCAUACUUUUUUUAAAGGGCUUCUGCCAUCUUUUCCGAGUGAUAAUUUGUCCCAUAAAAAGAGAAGUCUGCUGGGACACAGAUAAAAGACAUUUGAUGGAGGAAAAUGUGCUUUUAUUGAAUGUUCAAAUGCUAGAUGAAUAAUUGCUCUCCUUUAUUUUCAGAUUAAUUUUCCCAUGGAGUGACCCAUGUGAGCGGUGCGCCUGCAUUGCUGUGUUUUAUAGGAAAGGCUCCCUGUCGCUGGUAGCAUCUCUU